rnacentral:rRNA from 1 species
GAGAUAGCUGGUUCUCCUCGAAAUAGCUUUAGGGCUAGCGUCAAGUGGUAGCAAUUGGGGGUAGAGCUCUGUAAAGGACUGGGGCUGGCAACGGUACCCACCCUUAACAAACUACGAAUACCAAUUGUGGAAUCUUGGCAGUUAGAACGUCGGGGCUAAGCUCGGCGCUCGAAAGGGAAACAGCCCAGACCAUCGUCUAAGGUCCCUAAAUAUACACUCAGUGGGAAACAAGGUGAGAUUUCUUAAACAGCUAGGAUGUUGGCUUAGAAGCAGCCAUUCAUUUAAAGAGUGCGUAACAGCUCACUAGUCAAGAGAUCUUGCGUGGAAAAUGUAACGGGGCUCAAGUGUAUUACCGAAGACAUGGACUGCGUAGCAAUACGUAUGUGGUAGAGGAGCGUUCCUAUCAGCGGUGAAGCCAGACUGGAAAGUACUGGUGGAGCGGUAGGAAGUGAGAAUGCUGGAAUGAGUAACUUCAAGACAGGUGAGAAUCCUGUCGGCCGAAAGAGCAAGGUUUCCUGGGCGAUGGUAAUCAUCCCAGGGUUAGUCGGGCCUAAGCCGAGGCGCGUAGCGUAGGCGAUGGACAUCAGGUUAAUAUUCCUGAACCCGUACAAGUUUUUACACUGUUCACGGCGAGAGAGUCAGAGCGGAUUCAUGGUAUGUAUCCGUCCAACCUAGGGGGAACCCGAUGGGAGUGAAAGUGAAACCUCGAGUUUCGCGAUUCUGGUGAUAGCGCUGGCUAGAAAAGCAGGUGUAAUUAUGGCUUGUGCGGCCCGUACCGCAAACCAACACCGGUGCUCGAGUCGAGAAGACUAAGGCUUACGAGAGACCCUUUGCUAAGGAACUCGGCAAUACAGCGACCGUAACUUCGGGAUAAGGUCUGCCCCCUCACACUGUGUAUAACAGUGGCGAGGAUGCCAGUUUUUAGAAGGAAUGAAGUAAAUGAUUGAGUACCUAUGAAUCUUCGGAUUCAUUUCAAUCGACAUCUAAUUUGACUGAGAAGACACAGUGAUUUCUAAAGACUGCCAAACUCAUCACACCUGGUUUAUACCUAGUGUGAGGGGGCCGCAGCAAAAGAGCCCACGGAACUGUUUAUCAAAAACACAGGUCUCUGCUAACACGAAAGUGGAUGUAUAGGGGCUGACUCCUGCCCGGUGCCGGAAGGUUAAGGGGACUGGUUCACGCUAGGAACUGAAGCCCCGGUGAACGGCGGCGGUAACUAUAACCGUCCUAAGGUAGCGAAAUUCCUUGUCAGGUAAGUUCUGACCCGCACGAAUGGAGUAAUCAUGUGGGCACUGUCUCAGCAAAGGACUCGGUGAAAGUGCAUUGGCGGUAAAGAUGCCGUCUGUCCGUACCAGGACGAAAAGACCCCGUGCAGCUUUACUACAGCUUUACAUUGAUCCGGGUUACAACAUGUGUAGCAUAGGUGGGAGACUUUGAAGCGGAUACGCUAGUAUUCGUGGAGUCGUUAGUGAAAUACCACCCUUGUUGUGAUCUUGAUCUUACCUUGACCGUUAUCCGGUUAGGGGACCGUGUAUGGUGGGUAGUUUAACUGGGGCGGUUGCCUCCUAAAGAGUAGCGGAGGCGUUCAAAGGUUGGCUAGCUUCGGAUGGAAAUCGAAGUGAUAGUGUAUACGCAUAAGCCAGCUUGACUGUGAGGAGUACAUUCCGAUCAGAUACGAAAGUAGGAGUAAGUGAUCCGCUAGAAGUACAAUAGUACAUGAAUGUGGGAUUGCUAGCGCAAACGGAUAAAAGUUACGCCGGGGAUAACAGGCUUAUAGCGCCCAAUAGUUCACAUAGACGGCGCUGUUUGGCACCUCGAUGUCGGCUCAUCACAUCCUGGAGGGGGAGCACCUUCCAAGGGUUCGGCUGUUCGCCGAUUAAAGUGGUACGCGAGCUGGGUUCAGAACGUCGUGAGACAGUUCGGUUUAUAUCCGGUAUGGACGUCAGGAAUUUUGAGAGGAUCUACCCCUAGUACGAGAGGACCGGGGCGGACGAACCUCUGGUGUAUCGAUUGUGGCCACCUGCUGCAUUGUCGAGUAGCUAUGUUCGGAAUAGAUAAGCGCUGAAAGCAUAUUAAGCGCGAAACU